GACGAACGCUGGCGGCGUGCCUAAUACAUGCAAGUCGAGCGAAUCACUGGGAGCUUGCUCCCGGUGGUUAGCGGCGGACGGGUGAGUAACACGUGGGCAACCUGCCUGUAAGACUGGGAUAACACCGGGAAACCGGUGCUAAUACCGGAUAAUUCUUUUCUGCACAUGCAGGAAAGCUGAAAGUCGGUUUCGGCUGACACUUACAGAUGGGCCCGCGGCGCAUUAGCUAGUUGGUGAGGUAACGGCUCACCAAGGCGACGAUGCGUAGCCGACCUGAGAGGGUGAUCGGCCACACUGGGACUGAGACACGGCCCAGACUCCGACGGGAGGCAGCAGUAGGGAAUCUUCCACAAUGGACGAAAGUCUGAUGGAGCAACGCCGCGUGAGCGAUGAAGGCCUUCGGGUCGUAAAGCUCUGUUGUUAGGGAAGAACAAGUACCGGAGUAACUGCCGGUACCUUGACGGUACCUAACCAGGAAGCCACGGCUAACUACGUGCCAGCCGCCGCAGUAA
rnacentral:rRNA from 1 species